UGCCAGCUUCACAUAUGACUGUAAGAACUGGAGCACCUCUCUUAUGAAGAGAGGCUGAGAGAGCUGGGGUUGUUCAGCCUGGAGAAGAGAAGGCUCUGCAGAGAUCUCAUAGUAGCCUUCCAGUACCCAAGGG